AUAUAUAUAUAUACACACACACACACACGUGUCACACAUUACAUGUCCUCUAAGAAGUAAAGAUCCUGUGUUUAAACUAUUCAGUACAAUUAUUUAAGUUUAAAUUAUUUAAUAUCUGAUAAACUGAGCCUGGUGUCUGAUCAACAACUGUUGUAAACGUCCGUUUUACUGCCAAGUUGGUAUAUAACCAGAUACUGCAGAAAGAGGGGAUUUAUUUCUGACAUGAUCCUCACAAUAGAGAUUUCUAUUUUAAGGCUUUCACACCGAGUCUGGUUUUAACAUAUGAAAAACAGGCUCGUCAGAAUUUGAAAAUGAACGCAUGUAAAUGAAUGGCGUCUUUCACAUCCAGUCCGGCGAGCACCUUUACACGGACACGUGAAUCCAUCGUAGCACGCACUUCACGCCUGUACCUGCGUGCCCAAAUUUCGGAUAACUCGGCGCUUUUGCGGGCGCUUCCCACAUGGGUUGUGCACGACUACAAAGAGGUUUUAUUUAGGUUCAGAUUAAAAUUAUAAACUAAACACAUACUUUGCGCUGCACGGCGGGGUGGUGUUCUUGGAGAUGGGAGAACAGGUUUGACGUAUGUCCACCUUUAGCUGUGACUUUACGGCCACAUUGAUUAUAAAUCGGAUACCCAUCCUCGGGUGCGUUCGGCGGGUCUCUGAAAUAGUCCCACACUGCUGAUUUUAGUUUAGCCUUUUUUUAGGCGGACGGAGAUUUGUUUAGUCUGAUGCACUUUCUGCUGUUCUCACCGCUGUGUGCUGAGCAGCUGAAGCGGAGCAGAGUUGCGCAUGUGCGGGUGAGUUUCUCCGCUGGCUUGCGUUUUACCGGUAAUAAGCAAACACACACGGUAUGAUAACCGUGCAUUUUAAUACCAUGGUAUACCGUGAAACCGGUUACCGCUGCAACCCUAGGUAGGUGAUAUGGCUCUAAUAUAAUAUCACAAUAUUCUAUGUUUUUUUUUUUUUUUUUUUUUUUUUUUUUUUUAGGGG